UUUCCUCGGUAACUCUUACAUCUUAUCUCAUUCCCUUCCGCCGAUUCACUCUUUUAAUGUACCCUUUUGCACCGCUCAUUAAAAUGCAAACUAACACGAAUAUUUCUUUAAUUUCAGAUUUUCCAACAAAAAGCGAGCAUCCUACGGACACUUUCAGGAAACUUUGCAUGGAGACCUGCCCCAGCUGGUGCUCUGGAUUCAAAGCACUUACCGAGAAAGGACCCAGAUGCUAGUUGACGUUUACAAUAGAUGCAGUACACCAGGUUCGGAAGUGCGUUAAAAAAAAAAAAGCUCCAAUCCAGACUUUCUCACGUGUGGAGUGUACUUACUUGUAGCGCUGACAGCAGGACCGAUGACGGAGUAUCUGGGGUUCCCCGUAACGGCCCCAAAGGCAACCUUGUCCAGUGUCAAGGAACUAACCCCAAACCUGUAGACCAAUAGGACAAGACAGAGAAAAAGACGAGGACCCGACGCAACAUCUUGCAGACGAACAUCCUAUGAACACAGUGGGAGCAGCCUAAGGACAAAUUCUCAAAAAAUCCCAAGGACUCUUCCCUGGGGAUUUACCUGGCUUUCGUCCUGCGACUGUCCCUACGUUACUGAGACAAUUGAUAAUUGGCCCUCACGUUUCCAGAGACGGAUUUUUCGGUAUCAUUACUAGAAGACUCGCAACUUCCCUCGGAUUCACGACUCUCCACUUAAUUGCCACUCUGCCAUGGAAGAAGCUGUGUGUUGUGACUGGGCGCCCGCCGCGACGCGCGACCCUGUACGGCCCUGCACAGCCGGGGACUCGGCAUUUGUAUUUGGCUCGAUGAAGUGACACCACGUGCGUUUCCCAAAUGUCUGCAGUAAGUGGGACAGAGUGGGACAAAGUGGGAGCGAGUGGGACGGAGCGAGAGACAAGACCAAAGGGAAGAACGUCUGGAGCCACGUAUAUUUUAGAUGUCAGCCACCACCUGUCACCAUGGAUCAACCGUGCUGGUCAGGGCCUAUCUCCACCGUAGAAGACAGAUAAGGUAGCUAAUUAAAUCUGUGAGGGGUUCCUGACUUGGAUCAGCCUAUCAAGGUGGAUCAAAAGGAUGCCGCAGAUUUUUAAUUUAUUAUAAAAUCAAUAAUUGUUAAAUUCACAUGAUUUCCUCAAUUUUGAUGCACCUCUCAUAUCUUUACUCUGUCGUGCAUACACGUACGUCUAUAUAGACAGUUUUCAGAUAGUCCAAGUAACGUAACGUUAUUCCAAUUCACAGGCACGGGACACUGAUUAAUUCCAUUUCCUAUACUUCAUUUGUAUCCGGCAGGAGCGAAUUAUUCGCACGUCCAGAUUCCUAGAGUAAGCACAAUUUUAUUGGGUCUCCGCAGGAUUCUCCGGGUAUUACUUAUAUUAUUGGGAAUUUAUAUCGGCCGCGUUUGAGUCCCUUGUUUUCUCUCAGCUCUGCCGUUGUCAGAUGAAGCUGCAAUUUAAUUUAAAACGAUGAGCUUGCAGUAUCGAUACAACCCUGGCUGUACACAGAAAAUGAAAUCUCUAUUAUUUGAAAAUCCUCUUUGCGCUCAAGUGUCUUUUGUGCGAAAUAAUGAUAGCGUCGGGUCCAGUGAGCAACCGCUACGCGAUUUUCUAUCUGAAAAUCUAUUCGGAUAGGUACGAGUGUAACGUCGGGAAAAUUUUGCAGAAAAAAAAAAUCAUCAACACCAACAGUCACUACCCUUACGAUUUCAAAGGCACGUGUAUAAUCCUCAGAGUGAACUCUUGGCUUUGUCAAUAUUUUCCCAAGAAAAAUAUCUUCGCGGAAAACCACUUUCAACACCGCUGAACGACAUCCUCCGGAAGUACUGGAUACACCUCCUAUCCGCCACCUUGAUGUCAAACUCCACUGUCCUUUUUUUUCUUCAUCUUUUCUUCCCACCUUGACUAUAUAUAUUUGCCAUGUACAAAAUUGUUACGUGAUAGCACGGUAGACAGCAGGCGUCUUUGGAGACGAAUUAAAGGGGAUGAAUCAACCCUCAAAGAACGUCGAACGACCAGUUGGCUGCUGCAUCACGCGUGAACGACAUCUCUAAGGUGUAUGGCAAAUCGGCGAGUUGUCUUCAAGACGCAUUAUCGAUCACUCGCUUGAGAAAAAUACUGGACGGCGCAUUGUCGGGAUAUCGGAUCCGCAUAAUGGUCACAAGCGUUCGCCAUGCUGAUUCCCGUGGGAGGACGAAUGUUGAACUUUCGCUAGGAUUUUCCAGCCCAUGAGGCAUCUAUAUGAAUAUGACGUUGAAAAUCGUUAACCUCGCUUUUGUAUUUCCCCGGUGUGCAAUGCUGCAACAGGGACGGGAGGGGUUGUGCGUUGACAUGGAGGUUAAGGGGGUCCUGUGAAGCCUAGACUAGAAUUAAUUAAAUCGACUGAACUUUGUUACUUGUUUUUCUUUGUUUAGUAUAACAAUAAUGUAAUAAUUAUAAUAAAUUAUCGAACCAAGGACUUUAUGCCGA